rnacentral:rRNA from 1 species
CGAACGCUGGCGGCAGGCCUAACACAUGCAAGUCGAACGCGUGUAGCAAUACACGAGUGGCGCACGGGUGAGUAACGCGUGGGAACGUCCCUUUUAGUACGGAAUAACUGCGGGAAACUGCAGCUAAUACCGUAUACGCCCCCAAUCUGUAACAGGACGGGGGGGAAAGAUUUAUCGCUAAAAGAUCGGCCCGCGUCAGAUUAGCUAGUUGGUGGGGUAAUGGCCUACCAAGGCUUUGAUCUGUAGCUGUUCUGAGAGGAAGACCAGCCACACUGGAACUGACACACGGUCCAGACUCCUACGGGAGGCAGCAGUGGGGAAUAUUGGACAAUGGGGGAAACCCUGAUCCAGCCAUGCCGCGUGAGUGAUGAAGGCCUUAGGGUUGUAAAGCUCUUUUGGCGGGGAAGAUGAUGACGGUACCCGCAGAAUAAGCACCGGCUAACUUCGU